rnacentral:rRNA from 1 species
CACGGGGGAGCAAGCGUUGUUCGGAAUCACUGGGCGUAAAGGGCGUGAUAGGCGGUCAUGUAAGUGGGAUGUGAAAGCCCUCGGCUCACCCGAGGAUCUGCAUCUCAAACUGCAUGGCUUGGAGUAUGGGAGAGGAUGAGGGAAUUCCUGGUGUAGCGGUAGAAUGCGUAGAUAGUCAGGAGGAACACCGGUGGCGAAGGCAGCUCGCUGGGACGGUACUGACGCUGAGACGCGAAGCGUGGGAGCAAACAGG